rnacentral:rRNA from 1 species
UUCGGGAAGCGAGCGUACACAGGUGCUGCACGGCUGUCGUCAGCUCGUGUCGUGAGAUGUUGGGUUAAGUCCCGCAACGAGCGCAACCUCGUGUUUAGUUGCUAACAGUUCGGCUGAGAACUCUAAACAGACUGCCUACGCAAGUAGGAGGAAGGUGAGGACGACGUCAAGUCAUCAUGGCCCUUACGGCCAGGGCUACACACGUGCUACAAUGGGGUAUACAAAGAGCAGCGAUACGGUGACGUGGAGCAAAUCUAGAAAAUGCCUCUCAGUUCGGAUUGUAGUCUGCAACUCGACUACAUGAAGUUGGAAUCGCUAGUAAUCGUAGAUCAGCAAUGCUACGGUGAAUACGUUCCCGGGUCUU